GCCACCUUCCAAUAGAUUGAGGCCCUGAAUCUCAUUCACAAAAGCCUGAAAUAUCAACCGAUGGUUAUUAAAUCAUUUUUCUAAAAGAUGAAGCGCGGCAUCAUAAUGCUCCUUGGAGAUUUCAAAGGAACGAACUGCCUCUAAGUCCCGAUAAGCUAGAUCUCAAAAACAGGAUCGCAACCACCUUACUUAUAUGAGGAUUGUAGUCCACGAUUGUUGAGAAAGCCGAGUAAAACUUCCACUCCCACUCCAAAUAUUCGUUAAGCGGAGGUUAUUCGGAGUAGGCUGAGUUUUAUUUGGCUUUAGGAAGAGAAGGCAAGGCUUGAAAACUCUGACUGGGCACCCUGGAAAGGGUGGAAUGGGCAGCAAUUCGAGCGAAGCGCAACGACGACUCGUGCUCGAUUUCGUCAUGCAUCGUCGCUACAAGCUCAGACUCGGUCCAUCGCAAGUCGCUGCUGAUCUCUGAAAUUUCCAGUUCUUCAAGCUUCCCGUGGAUGGCCUUAAAAUUCUGUACAUAGCGACCACCUGGCCAUGACUCAUGUGGAGCAUAGCAUCGUCCACCUUGGACACUAGCUGAAACCGAUUUAUAAAUACAAAAUGCUUGUUUUUCAGCCACGGA